ACAUCUAUAUAUUAUAUCUCUUAGGUCAACAUUUACUUCCAUGCUAUGGGAUCUGUCAGUUUCUGAAGACAGGAAUGUAAGGUUUAUCUGUUUAUGUCCUUCCCUCUUUCUGGGCUGGGCUGCGUGUGAAUGAAAAGAGGUGGUGAGUAAAGAACAAAGACCAAGGAUAUUAAAGAACAAAGAUCAAGAGUUCGUUUAGAUCUCAACGUCAACGCAAUUAAUCAUCAAAGCAUGUCCUGGGAGAAAGGAAGAAGGCGAAGAAAAAGGAUGGACCAGACAUGGUUAUCUAACGUGAGAAGUAUUAGCACCUUCAAACCAAUGCAAAAUGUGUGUAGCUGUGAUCCCCACUGACAAGCAGCUUCUGAUUCUGCCAUAUGGCGGCUAGCCACAGAAGCAACAAGAGAGGAGUCCAGUCCUCCAGAUAAAA